AGAGCGAACGCUGGCGGCAGGCCUAACACAUGCAAGUCGAACGGACUCUUCGGAGUUAGUGGCGGACGGGUGAGUAACACGUGGGAACGUGCCUUUAGGUUCGGAAUAGCUCCUGGAAACGGGUGGUAAUACCGAAUGUGCCCUUCGGGGGAAAGAUUUAUCGCCUUUAGAGCGGCCCGCGUCUGAUUAGCUUGUUGGUGAGGUAAUGGCUCACCAAGGCUACGAUCAGUAGCUGGUCUGAGAGGAUGACCAGCCACAUUGGGACUGAGACACGGCCCAAACUCCUACGGGAGGCAGCAGUGGGAAUCUUGCGCAAUGGGCGAAAGCCUGACGCAGCCAUGCCGCGUGUAUGAUGAAGGUCUUAGGAUUAGUAAAUCUUUCACGGUAGAAGUAUAAUGACUGUAGCCGGAGAAGACGCCCGAUAACGUCGUGCCAGCACGCCGACGGUAAUCGUAGGACGCCGGGCUACGGGCGAAACGGCGACGAAGUACG
rnacentral:rRNA from 1 species